UACGUAGGGUGCAAGCGUUGUCCGGAAUUAUUGGGCGUAAAGAGCUCGUAGGCGGUUUGUCGCGUCUGCUGUGAAAACUCGGGGCUUAACUCCGGGCCUGCAGUGGGUACGGGCAGACUAGAGUGCGGUAGGGGAGACUGGAAUUCCUGGUGUAGCGGUGAAAUGCGCAGAUAUCUGGAGGAACACCGGUGGCGAAGGCGGCAUCCUGGACCAAUUCUGACGCUGAGUGAGCGAAAGCCAGGGGAGCAAACGGG
rnacentral:rRNA from 1 species